CGGGGCUCGGGGAGGGUGCCCGCAGGAGGUGCGGGGGUUCCCGCUGAUGGCCAGGCUAGAGCCGGAGCCGAGGAGCGUGCGUGCUCAGGGGGAGGUGUCAGCUGAGCUCUAUGUGCCAGGCCCACAGCUUGACCCCAGGACACUUUCAGAAGAGUCCAGUUUUGGUGGAAGCCGGACAUGUGUGUAUAUGUAAUGAGGGUCUCAGGAGUGUGCAAGUAAAAUCUAACUGGGUCAGUGAUGGCAGUGAGAAGCUGUGGAUGCUGGGUCUUACCUACACAUUUGAGAGUGAGCAGGAACCUGGGCAGCAAGAGAUAAGCCAAUAUAUCUGCCUGUUGAACGUACAGUUAAAAAUAAUUAUAGGGAACAUGGUGAUGCUUCAGAAACUGUCAGAUAUAUUUUGUGUGUCUUUGGGAUUAGGAAGUAGGAGUGCUGCCAUCGGGCUCUCUUAGUUGAGAACAAGGAUCCAGAGGAGGUGGAAGUUCCCAGCACAAUCCAGAGCCCUGUGUGGACCCUGAUCUCCAUAAGGACUGUUUAUUGCCGGGACCCUGCUGCACUAGAAAGGUUAUUCAGAAUUACAUUCAGCUCUCCAAAAGAAGAGCAGAGUCUGUACAUUUAAGCUUUGAUUUUUCCAUCAGGUGUGAGCCAGGGCAAGAAAGGAUGUAAAUUAAAAAGGACCUGUAACUUGCUCACCAGUGCAUUCUCUGUGCAUUGGACGUUAAUUGAAAAGAGUGGGGUUUCUUUUUUUUCUGAAUACUUUUCUAUGCUUUCUAAAUUUUCUUUAGUGAGCAUAUAUUAAUUCAUCCAUUUAUUCAUUAAUUUACUCCUUUACCAAGCAGGUACUAAAGUAGUUAGAGUGUGCUUGACAUUUGCUGGGUAUUGAGUAAACAGUAGUGAAACGGAGUCCUUGCCCUCGAAGAACUUAUAUCUGGUAGAGCUGUUCAUCUUAGUUAGCAAUGACUCUGAGGCAAGUAUGGUACCAAGCAUUUCACUUACAGUAUCUCAUUCAAUUCUCAUAAUAAUUCCUUCCAUAGCAUAGGAAUAAUUAUCUUCAUCUAAUAGAUGAAGACUGAAGCUUAAACAUAGAGCAUGGCCACAGCCCAUCCAUAAUGGGUAUUUUGAAUGAGUGACGAAUGGUUGCUAUCGGAAGCCACUAAAACCCUGGGGUCAUUUGUUUUGCAGCAUGACCAUCUGACAGGCACAGAAUCCUUAAACCAUGAUACCAGAGUGCCUUCUUUUUAUAUCAUUUCUAUAAUUAGAAAUGAAAACCGUAGGAAUUGGAGAAAGCAUUAUCUGGUCAGGAUUUUUCAGUGUAAAGUGUUUUUCUGAAUCUCAAAGAUUUUUUCCAUGUGCUGUAUCUGCUACCACU